AGAGGGGGAUAACGUUUGGAAACGAACGCUAAUACCGCAUGAUAUUAUUGGGCAGCAUUGCCUGAUAAUCAAAGGAGCAAUCCGCUGAAAGAUGGGCUCGCGUCCGAUUAGGUAGUUGGCGGGGUAACGGCCCACCAAGCCGACGAUCGGUAGCCGGACUGAGAGGUUGAACGGCCUCAUUGGGACUGAGACACGGCCCAGACUCCUACGGGAGGCAGCAGUGAGGGAUAUUGGUCAAUGGGGGAAACCCUGAACCAGCAACGCCGCGUGAGGGAAGACGGUUUUCGGAUUGUAAACCUCUGUCCUCUGUGAAGAUGAUGACGGUAGCAGAGGAGGAAGCUCCGGCUAACUACGUGCCAGCAGCCGCGGUAAUACGUAGGGAGCAAGCGUUGUCCGGAUUUACUGGGUGUAAAGGGUGCGUAGGCGGCUUUGCAAGUCAGAAGUGAAAUCUAUGGGCUUAACCCAUAAACUGCUUUUGAAACUGCAGGGCUUGAGUGAAGUAGAGGUAGGCGGAAUUCCCGGUGUAGCGGUGAAAUGCGUAGAGAUCGGGAGGAACACCAGUGGCGAAGGCGGCCUACUGGGCUUUAACUGACGCUGAGGCACGAAAGCGUGGGUAGCAAACAGGAUUAGAUACCCUGGUAGUCCACGCUGUAAACGAUGAUUACUAGGUGUGGGUGGACUGACCCCAUCCGUGCCGGAGUUA
rnacentral:rRNA from 1 species